rnacentral:lncRNA from 1 species
GUUUUUCCUGGAGUUCUUUCUCACCAGACUGGUUCCGGCUGCCUCCUGGAUGAUGAUGGAAAACCAAGGUGCUUGCCAACGAGUCAUUCUCUCAUUUUGUAAUCCUCAGGCACUUGUACAAAGGUUAUGUGGAACGUUACCAACAAGUUAAAGGCACAGCCUGGACGGCCUUAAAGGAAUUAGAUCUGCUGUGGCAAAAUCCAAGCAUUGUAUAUCAAGGAGAUCCAGGCCUAAUGAGCUCAGAAGGAGGCAAUAAGGAUCCUUUCACUUUAUACCUUUUCACUUUCAACUCUGGAGUCUGCAAACCCAGAAAUAUAGGAAAGAGACUACUGGAGGAGCCUCAGGAGGGACGCCUGAGAACUCCAUGGGCCUGGGCAGACUGGCUUUGGAGAACUGAAAAACAGUACACAUUCAUGCGGAAGGGAGAAUGGUCCACACCCCAUCACCCACCCCCCAGAGACAAAUCCAAGCUUUAUGGAUUUUAGGGAAACUACAGUGACUCUUUUGAGGUACUAGUUCCUCAUGUGAAUGAACUCUUUGAUGAGAAUAAAGUAAAAAGU